GCCUGUGCAGCAGGAUGUGACUGAAAGUAUGGUGAGCAGAAACGUCUCUGACGGCCGCCUGAACCAGACUCUGCAGCACCGAGCUCAGGCUGGAUAGAGCUGCGCUGCACAGAGCCACGUUCUCUAUCUGGAGGAACCUUCAACAUCCGGAGCCGAAUGUCAACUUUGUGACAGACAUCAAGAAGCGGAAGGUAGAAAAGGAGGCCUGGAGAGAAGGGGAAAAGACAGAGAUUAAACUAGAUGACCAAGUCUGAAGAUCACAGCUCUUUCAUGCUCCCGGAUUACCUGUGAAUCAAGAUGACAGCUCUCCGCUGAAUUUACUACCUAUUAAUCCUAAUGUGUAGCUUUUUCUUGAAGUACAUAGGAACAUUUGAAACAGAGUUGGGCUAUUAUUCAGCUUAGAUUGGAUGACUGCUUAGCUUUCUUACAGUAAAAAAGUAUUAAUGCAGUUGUUGGUAUAUGGCACAUUUGAAAUAUAUACAUUUACACAACCUUCAACAAAAAUUAUUCAUAUUUUUUUUAUAUAUGUCAGAUUUCUAUGGACAGGUUUACACUUUUUAAGUAGA